rnacentral:lncRNA from 1 species
GAUUUCCUCGCAAAACUUCCUAGCUAGCGACUUGGAAAAAAGUCGAUCACUUUUUUCGAAAAAGUCGAGGAGCUUUUGUCGUGAGUAUCUUUGAGUCACAGACGGCGCCAACUGAUGGGGGUGAAACCCGACCAGUACUCCAAGACGCGCAAGCAAGCGCCAAGCGGGGAACUCCGCGGGAAACCAGGCCGGAACUCAAGUGCGCAGAGCUCUGCUUCGCUAGGAAUCCUUUC